rnacentral:rRNA from 1 species
CGAAGGAUGCAAGCGUUAUCCGGAUUCAUUGGGUUUAAAGGGUGCGUAGGCGGCCCGGUAAGUCAGUGGUGAAAUCUCCUUGCUUAACAAGGAAACUGCCAUUGAUACUGCUGGGCUUGAGUACAGAUGCUGUGGGCGGAAUAUGACAUGUAGUGGUGAAAUACUUAGAGAUGUCAUAGAACACCGAUUGCGAAGGCAGCUCACAAAAACUGUAACUGACGCUGAGGCACGAAAGUGCGGGGAUCAAACAGGAUUAGAUACCCUGGUAGUCCGCACUGUAAACGAUGAUUACUCGCUGCUAGAGGGCAACUUUUAGUGGCUUAGCGAAAGCGAUAAGUAAUCCACCUGGGGAGUACGCCGGGCAACGGUAG